AGAGUUUGAUCCUGGCUCAGGACGAACGCUGGCGGCGUGCUUAACACAUGCAAGUCGAACGGUAAGGCGCUUUCGGGCGUACACGAGUGGCGAACGGGUGAGUAACACGUGAGGAACGUGCCCUUGACUUUGGUAUAGCACUUGGAAACAGGUGGUAAUCCCGAAUAUUCAGUUUCCCGGGCAUCCGGGUUGUUGGAAAGCUUUUUGCGGUCAGGGAUCGUCUCGCGGCCUAUCAGCUUGUUGGUGGGGUAGUGGCCCACCAAGGCCUUGACGGGUAGCCGGCCUGAGAGGGCGACCGGCCACAUUGGGACUGAGAUACGGCCCAGACUCCUACGGGAGGCAGCAGUGGGGAAUAUUGCACAAUGGGCGGAAGCCUGAUGCAGCAACGCCGCGUGCGGGAUGACGGCCUUCGGGUUGUAAACCGCUUUCACCCAUGACGAAGCGCGAGUGACGGUAGUGGGGGAAGAAGCACCGGCCAACUACGUGCCAGCAGCCGCGGUGAUACGUAGGGUGCGAGCGUUGUCCGGAAUUAUUGGGCGUAAAGAGCUUGUAGGCGGUUGAUCGCGUCGAUAGUGAAAUCCCGGGGCUCAACCUCGGGCUUGCUGUCGAUACGGGUUGACUUGAGGAAGGUAGGGGAGAAUGGAACUCCCGGUGGAGCGGUGGAAUGCGCAGAUAUCGGGAAGAACACCGGUGGCGAAGGCGGUUCUCUGGACCUUUCCUGACGCUGAGAAGCGAAAGCGUGGGGAGCAAACAGGCUUAGAUACCCUGGUAGUCCACGCUGUAAACGGUGGGUACUAGGUGUGGGUCGCAUUCCACGUGAUCCGUGCCGUAGCCAACGCAUUAAGUACCCCGCCUGGGGAGUACGGCCGCAAGGCUAAAACUCAAAGGAAUUGACGGGGCCCCGCACAAGCGGCGGAGCAUGCGGAUUAAUUCGAUGCAACGCGAAGAACCUUACCUGGGUUUGACAUGUACUGGAAGCGCUCAGAGAUGGGCGUGCCUUUUCGGCCGGUUCACAGGUGGUGCAUGGCUGUCGUCAGCUCGUGUCGUGAGAUGUUGGGUUAAGUCCCGCAACGAGCGCAA
rnacentral:rRNA from 1 species